UUUUCUCUUAGGGGGCCAGUUUUAAGCGUUCUCACUAAUGUUUGCACUAAACUCUAUUGCUCUCAUUGGAAAAAGAAAUUAGUCCGUGAAAAUAACUCGAUUGUGUGAGAAUUCAGUUGAACUAUGGCUACUGUUGCUGCCUGUUUCGCGGUUUGACGUACUAAUGUGGUGGGUGAAAAUUAUUUCUUUAAUUUGUGAAAGCUGAUUACUGGUCCCACAACUGAGUUUGAGAGUUUUUGUCCCUCUCAUAUUUCCGUUAUACUCUUCCCCUCUCUAUUCCAUGGCUCCAUCCUUUUUCAUUCUUCCUCCCUCCCUCCCUCUCUCUCUCUCCCCACCCUUUCCCUCUCUGCUUCUCUUGUUAUUACCUUUGCUGAAUCCCACGUCAGUGAUUCAACAUCGGUUUGGAAUUGGGGUAAUGUGCUAUUAUAAGGGCCUUAGACACUCUUCCCCUUAGUUUUUGGGUGAAUAAGUGCCUUAUGCACUCCUCUACUUGAGAUAGCUUUUGGGUGAAUUAUACUUGGCCCAAAUUUAAUAUGGUAUCAGAGUGAUGUGUCUCCCAUAAAUGUGUAAAUAUGUGUAUAGUUCCGGGCAUGAGGGGUGCGUUGAAUCCCACAUCAGUUUACAAGGGUCUUAGGCACUCUUUCCUGUCAGUUUUUGGGUGAAUUAGGUUUGGCCCAAAUUUAACAACCUUCAGACUCAAUGGAUCCAGAUUUUGUAUUCAUUAAAACCAACAAAAUGGGAGAGUAAAUGAAUGAAUGUUUGAGUGGGGAAUAAAUGAAAUAGAUAGAAAUGCCGAGAUGGUUCAGUUUUCUUUUUUAUUUUAUUUUAUCUUUGAUGAUUCGAGUCUCAUAUUAACCCCUAGGGAAUCAAUUUCCCCUAAUUUUGGCAAAUCAAAGAACGCCCAAGAAUACAAAUAAAAUAUAGUGCAUGUUUUCUAGCAAAACCCUACUGAAUGCACAAUAUAAGAUCAAUUCAAAAUUCUAUAGAAUGCAUCAUUAGUGAAAAACCUAGAUGCUUCACAAACCCUAUUGCAAUCAAAUCAUCCACUAUUCACCUAAGAGCUCCCUCAUGAACUACUCAUGCCCAGCACCGACUACGAAAGGUAACAAUAACUUGUUUAAUGUGAUAGAAGUGAGGGCAAGGCCUAAACAACAGGAGACCUUAAUCUUGCUGAUCGACAAAGACAAGGCUUCAACACCAGGAAUUAGGCUGAAUGAUUCUAUGGUUGAAAGUCAAAGAGAGCUACUGUUAGGGAACAAUUCAGAGGUUGCUAGUGAGGGAGAGUGGUAAAGAGGGGGUGGCUGUCUUGGGUUAGGGUAAAGGGGCUUUGUGGAGGAGGAGGAUAUGGGAGUUUUGCAAGGUCUGAUUGAUUCACAGAAGGAGAUAAAUAAACAACAUUAGAGAAGUGAUGAAGCUGUCAAUUUGGUGAAGCCAUUGAAGUGGAGAAGAAAGCCAUACAAAAGUUGGAAUUGGAGGAAUAGAGGAAUGAGAGAGGGAAACAGAAACAACUAUUCCUCCUAUAAAAACCAUUUUAUGCUAUAAGCAGCAGCAACUGGGUAACAGGCUGCUGCAGUUAAUAGUGCUCCAAUCCAUGCCUAUUUGGUUAUUUUCAUAGAACUUUUCUUUUCUUCUUUUUUUAAAAAAUGAGCACAUUCUGUUUAGUGUAAACAUUUGUGAACACUCUUGAAAAAUAGUUACAUUCUCUCUCUUCUUGAUAAUUAUUCUAUCCAUUGUAGUUGAAAAGCACUUCCUUUUCGCCUGUUGUUACACCAUGUUAGUUGGUUAGAUGACUAAGCUUCUCUCUCUCUAAAUUGACUGUUGUUACACCAUGUUAGUUGGUUAGAUGACUAAGCUUCUCUCUCUCUAAAUUGAAUAGAUACAAUUUCUGUUAGAGUUUAUGAAGCGCGGAUGGAACUUUUGAGGGCUGUCA
rnacentral:lncRNA from 1 species